rnacentral:rRNA from 1 species
AUUGAACGCUGGCGGCAUGCCUUACACAUGCAAGUCGAACGGUGACAGGUUAAGCUGACGAGUGGCGUACGGGUGAGUAAUACAUCGGAACGUGCCCAGUAGUGGGGGAUAGCCCGGCGAAAGCCGGAUUAAUACCGCAUACGACCUAAGGGUGAAAGGGGGGGAUCGCAAGACCUCUCGCUAUUGGAGCGGCCGAUGUCAGAUUAGCUAGUUGGUGGGGUAAAAGCUCACCAAGGCGACGAUCUGUAGCUGGUCUGAGAGGACGACCAGCCACACUGGGACUGAGACACGGCCCAGACUCCUACGGGAGGCAGCAGUGGGGAAUUUUGGACAAUGGGCGCAAGCCUGAUCCAGCCAUGCCGCGUGCGGGAAGAAGGCCUUCGGGUUGUAAACCGCUUUUGUCAGGGAAGAAAUCCUUUGGGUUAAUACCUCGGGGGGAUGACGGUACCUGAAGAAUAAGCACCGGCUAACUACGUG